rnacentral:lncRNA from 1 species
GUUUCUCAUUAAUCAAUUAUUUAUACCAAUGUAUUCCUUGAAAAAAUAUAAAAAAUAAAGCAUAAAUCCAUUUUCAUAAAAAAAGAGGCCAAAGAUACCAAAAUGAUAUCUAAACUAUCGAAAACAAACUGACCAUGCCUUGAGUGAAAAUUGCAAAAAGACAAAAAGUACACAAAUAACUAUGCAGAGAACUAUGGAUGAGCAACAAUAACCCCACCAAAACUCAUGGUUCAUCUCAGGUCCUCAAAAGGGAUAAAGCAGAACCUAUGCAAUCAGCAAUUUGCUUGGCUACAUGUUAGGAUAUUUGUAUAAAGUAGUCAGUUAAUGGAGAACUGCUACAGGAAGGUCACUGAUAUUUGGUGUGUGGUUGUUUAAAAAUUGGCUCAUCUCACUUCCAUGGAGAUUAUUUGUCGCCC